rnacentral:rRNA from 1 species
GAUCCUGGCUCAAGACGAACGCUGGCGGCGCGCCUAACACAUGCAAGUCGAACGAGAGAGAAGGAGCUUGCUUCUUCGAUCGAGUGGCGAACGGGUGAGUAACGCGUGAGGAACCUGCCUCAAAGAGGGGGACAACAGUUGGAAACGACUGCUAAUACCGCAUAAGCCCACGGGUCGGCAUCGACCUGAGGGAAAAGGAGUGAUCCGCUUUGAGAUGGCCUCGCGUCCGAUUAGCUAGUUGGUG